rnacentral:misc_RNA from 1 species
CCAAACUAGACCUUUAAAAAUUCACACCUUGCCUCGAAAAGAAUAAAAUCUUCUUUCCCAAACAUGGUAAAACAGCUUUGAAGCUGUCUACCGUGUUCAGUUUACAAACAACAAGCGCCCGCUUCGUACCCGUCAUGGCAAUAAACCUCUCCUAGUCUCCGUUACCAUGCCUUCUCUUUGUCUUUUAUCGCCGAACUUUCCAGAGAAAUCUUAAACCCUAACAGUCUCAAUUCUCAACCCGCGAAACCAAUAAUCACAAAAGCAAGGUGUGAGGGAGAAAUACUGAUGAUGACCACUAGACAAUUGGGUGCUAGUACUCUGUCUGGAGGAUUGGCUAGGAAAAGUAGUGUACGGAAUGGAGUAGCAAAAGGGAUGGGACGGUUUUCUUUGGUAUGCCCAAGUGAGGUUGUCAAAAGAUUAGGUUGUAGAGAUGUUGCUUCCAACUGUCGCUUGUCUGCGGAGUACAGAAAUCAUUUUUCACCAUUUGUGACUCGUGGAAAAAAGCGACGAUUUGGGAUAGCUUUUAAUCAGUCACGUUCUGGUUGUGGUGUGGAAUCCACUAAUGUGCAAGAAAGAUCAAUUUUAGAAGAAGAAUAUUCCCUCAAUAGCUCAAGAGAUGAACACCUUGAGUCAACUGGGAUUCCAAUUGAUCAAUCACAUUCUUCAGAUGUCAAACGUGAGCUUAUAAUGCUUUCUCUGCCUGCAGUUGCUGGACAGGCUAUUGAUCCCUUAGCACAGUUGAUGGAGACUGCUUAUAUUGGUAGACUAGGUCCUGUGGAGCUGGGUUCAGCUGGUGUUUCCAUUACAAUAUUUAACAAUAUAUCAAAGUUGUUUAAUAUUCCUCUUCUUAGUGUUGCAACUUCUUUCGUUGCUGAAGACAUUGCCAAGAAUGAAAUAAAAUAUUCUACUUCAGAACAGAAUGUUCAGGAAAACAUUACAAAUGGCAAACCUACUGCUGAGGUGCCUGAAAGAAAGCAACUAUCCUCUGUGUCCACAGCCUUAUUGUUAGCUGUUGGUAUUGGCAUCUUUGAGGCAGUGGCUCUCUCUUUGGGAUGUGGACCAUUUCUUAACUUGAUGGGCAUAAAAUUGGAUUCACCGAUGCGGGUACCUGCAGAACGAUUUCUUUCACUAAGAGCCCUUGGUGCUCCUGCAGUUGUAGUGUCUUUAGCUCUUCAAGGCAUUUUCCGGGGCUUCAAGGAUACAAAGUCUCCUGUUUAUUGUUUAGCCCGGGGUAAUUUAUCAGCCGUAUUUUUAUUUCCCAUACUCAUGUAUUAUUUUAAGUUGGGUGUAAUUGGAGCUGCAAUUUCCACUGUCAUUUCUCAGUAUGUUCUCUAUGCAUUGGAUGCCUUCUUCAUGCAAUUUUAUUUUAUUUCAUUUUCAAUUAUCAUGCUAAAAGUUUCUUCUUGUAGAUAUAUUGUCACCUUCUUAAUGAUUUGGGAUCUAAAUAAGAGGGUUAUAUUAUUGCCUCCGAAGAUGGGAGCCUUGCAAUUUGGUGUCUAUUUGAAAUCUGGUGGUUUUCUUAUUGGAAGAACUCUUGCUGUAUUAACAACGAUGACAUUAGCGACUUCAAUGGCUGCUCGUCAAGGUCCUGAAGCCAUGGCUGCACAUCAGAUAUGCAUGCAAGUAUGGUUGGCUGUAUCUCUUCUUACAGAUGCACUUGCGGCAUCUGGUCAGGCUCUGACUGCGAGUUAUUUCUCAAAGGGCAACUACAAAUAUGUGAAAGAAGUUACGAACUUUGUGUUGAAGAUUGGUCUGCUCACUGGUGCUUCCUUGGCUGCAAUUCUGGGUAUUUCUUUUGGUUCCAUUGCCACCCUGUUUACCAAGGAUACUGAAGUAUUAAGCAUUGUCAGAAUGGGAGUAUUAUUUGUUAGUGUUAGUCAACCUAUGAAUGCCCUAGCAUUUAUUUUUGAUGGUCUUCAUUAUGGUGUUUCCGACUUCCCAUAUGCAGCACGUUCUAUGAUGUUGGUUGGAGCAAUAUCUUCCGUCUUUUUACUCUAUGCUCCACCAGUUAUUGGCCUUCCUGGGGUUUGGUUGGGCUUGGCUCUCUUUAUGGGCUUGCGUACAGCAGCAGGAUUUAUCAGAUUACUAUCAAAAUCCGGUCCAUGGUGGUUCCUGCACAAAGACUUGCACAGUGCUCAACUUGCUAGUUGAGAUGUGAACACUACAGAAUCAAUUGGUAGACUAUUGGGGAAUGCUCUCAGACUAAGCUUUAGAGUAUUUCGUCCUCAUUCACUGGUCAACAAUUUUGACUAUCAGCUACUUCAGCAUAAUUGAAUGAUGUUGAAAGAAUUCCUCCAUUUUUUUUAAAGAUGAUAGAUGUCUUUUGAUUAUUGACUUCAUUUAAUAUUUUGGUUCAGCUGUAAACUAUUUAUUUUUUAAUUUUUCGUUAUGCCUUUGUUUAUGUUGCUCAUCCUUUAUUGAACUUCUUUCAUCUUUUUCACCUUGUUGAGACUUAGAGAUGCC